rnacentral:lncRNA from 1 species
UUAUCUUCUAAGAUGCGAGUUCCACUUACUUAACCUCCCCCUCCAACCAGCCCUCAGUACCACCACUGAAACUACCAGGAUACAUAUCCACCACAAUAAGAAAGUAAAGGAGAAAAACUAGACAUGGGAUCCAACCCAAGAGAGAAGUGAAGUAUUUUCCUAGAACUACGGCAGUGGGAAAUUCCAGGAUGAUGCUUAUGUACCAGCCUAGAGAGCAACUAGUCUGGACUGGAGCAGAAAGAAGGCUUCAGGAGGGAUACCCCAAGACAAGAUCGAAACUGACAGAUUAUCUAGCCUGCAUUACCAUAUUGAGAGGGAUGUAGUUCUAACAGACCAUUUAAGGAAGAAAACCUAACAAACAAAAUAUAAGGCAAUGAUUAGGUCCCAAAAAAUUAAAGUGUGAUAAUAGUAUAUCAUAUAGCUUAAUUACAAAGAAAAUUUACAUCAUCAUGUAAACAUCAAUUAUUCACUUAAUCUAAAUGUUAUCUCAGGGAAGCUGGAACAGGAUAGUGAAGGGCCUCAGGAGAUGUAUAGUGUUCAUGACGAAUCUUAUAAUACUAUGUGACUUUUCAAACUAUGUAUAUGUUUGACUUUGAUAAAAAUUAAGAAAAAAUAUGGCUUUGCAAAAAACAUUCCAUCAUGUAUGAUUUUUCAGUGCUGUCUAAAAUGCCUAUACAAUUAUUGCUCCAACAAGUGACAGAACAACAGUUUUCAACUUUUUUUCCACUGGGAUACACAUGACAAGUGAUAUUUCCAUGUGAUAUAAUCCUAUGGAUGUUCCCAUUGUGCUAAACUUAACAUGAUGUUUCUCUCAUGCUUAAGAAAUUAUACCAGAAUACAAGUGACUAAGAAAGAGUAUUUUAGGAUAAAUUUGAACAGUGUUUAGUGUGUCAAGAGUUUAACAUUCACAAAUAUCCCUACUUCAGCUACUCUUAGUAAGUAGUUGACAUACCUCAGGACUGAUCUCAAUACACUCAUAUAUCAUAAUGUUGAGUUUGAGAACCGCUGGGGUACAACAGGAUUCCCAAAUUCAGAUGCCUACAACAGCCAGGUAGUAUGGUUUUGGCUUGCCUUUCACAACCAGAAAAGCAGCUAUCGUCCUUCAAAAAUAUCUCUCAGGGAGCAGGAUUUUUCUUCCAAACUCUGUGAGGUUUUACUCAAAGGUGUUGGCUAAGCCUCAGCCUUUGCAGUAACUGUGGUGGUAAUUGCUCCGACACCGAAAGAGUUUCAAUCUAUGGCCCUAUGUUGAUCCGGAUAUUUCACUUCCCAAAGUUGCUGAGUGUUUUGUUUGUCUGAAUUGAAAAAAAAAAGGAGAGAAUAUGGAAAGAAUCUUGACUCCCCUCUAUACCACUGAGAUCUGAACGACUUUACCUCACGGUAUGGGCAAGUCUAACCUCCUGAGAAGCCACUAGGAGGACAAUGCUGGUACCGCCACUUGAAGCACAAGGGCUGUGGAAAGACCAAGAGCUGCCGUCUCAAUUCAGGAGGAAUUAAGACAAAAGGAAAGAAGCCUAGAGACACUCUUCUCUACUUAGUAAUUCCUCUGGCUCCAGUAACACACAGGCGUCCAAUCUAGAAGCUCACAUGGUCCGCGUGGCAUUUCAGACUCACUCUUUAGAAGACGCCCUGCUAAUGCACACAGUGUGGAGGUGAGCCUGCAGCAUUAUAGCUGGUACUCGGCCUUGCUCUUGCUUUCUGGUUUACCUAAUGUCAAACUCAUCUUUUCAAGUUUUACUGUGACCAGACUUUGUUUAUGUUUGUUUUAUUUACUUUUUAAUUAUUAAUUUUGAAUUUUAUUUUGUGUGAGACCAAAAGGAAAGCCUUUCAUAACUGCCCCUUCCUUUAGGACUGGAGGAGCUAACAGGGUUGUGUUGCAACCAUGCUCAGUUGCUCUGAGGAGGGAGCUGGGGCAGAGAUAGCGCUUCAUACAUCUGGCAUUCUCACUUGCAUGGGCCAUUUGCAAAGUCUUGAGAGUGACCUUCGACCUUCGACCUUCCUAAUGCAAGGAACUAAAGUAUUUGUCAGCUUUUAAAAAUCAUUGUAAUCUAUUGUCAUUUCUUUUUAUUUUAAAUAAACACUGUUUACUUCAUCUUAAA